rnacentral:rRNA from 1 species
GACGAGUCCUUAACUGACGCUAAAGCUCGAAGGUGCGGGUAUCGAACAGGAUUAGAUACCCUGGUAGUCCGCACGGUAAACGAUGGAUGCCCGCUGUAUGCGAUAUACUGUAUGCGGCCAAGCGAAAGCGUUAAGCAUCCCACCUGGGGAGUACGCCGGCAACGGUGAAACUCAAAGGAAUUGACGGGGGCCCGCACAAGCGGAGGAACAUGUGGUUUAAUUCGAUGAUACGCGAGGAACCUUACCCGGGCUUGAACUGCAGCGGAAGGAUACAGAGAUGUUGACGCCCUUCGGGGCCGCUGUGGAGGUGCUGCAUGGUUGUCGUCAGCUCGUGCCGUGAGGUGUCGGCUUAAGUGCCAUAACGAGCGCAACCCUUUUCAUUAGUUGCCAUCAGGUGAUGCUGGGCACUCUGAUGAUACUGCCACCGUAAGGUGUGAGGAAGGUGGGGAUGACGUCAAAUCAGCACGGCCCUUACGUCCCGGGCUACACACGUGUUACAAUGGGUGGUACAGAGAGUCGGUCGUCUGCAAAUGCGAUCCAAUCCUUAAAGCCAUCCUCAGUUCGGAUUGGGGUCUGCAACCCGACCCCAUGAAGCUGGAU